rnacentral:rRNA from 1 species
CCUACGGGACGCAGCAGUGAGGAAUAUUGGUCAAUGGGAGAGAUCCUGAACCAGCCAAGCCGCGUGAGGGAAGACGGCCCUAUGGGUUGUAAACCUCUUUUGUCGGAGAACAAAACCCGGGACGAGUCCCGGACUGCGUGUAUCCGAAGAAUAAGCACCGGCUAACUACGUGCCAGCAGCCGCGGUAAUACGUAGGGUGCAAGCGUUAUCCGGAUUUAUUGGGCGUAAAGGGCUCGUAGGCGGUUCGUCGCGUCCGGUGUGAAAGUCCAUCGCUUAACGGUGGAUCCGCGCCUGGUACGGUCGGG